AAUAAAAAGGAAGAAAAUAAAACCUAAGAAACUAAACCUCUACCCCAAACGGCGCGCCGCUUCAGCACCCCACCCCGGCCCAGACUCCGAUUGCGGCGGAGUGAGCCGAGAUGCAGUGUUCCCACCUCCGAGGUACAAGGGCAGUAGUCGACGUGGAGGUACGGAGGCGCGGGCGUGGCACAUACGUGGGAGAGGUAUGCUCGUGCGAAGGUGACAGAGGCUAGGGCAGGAGCAGCUACACGCGCGCAGGCGCAACACGCGCAAAGAGAAGGCCUGGUGGUUGCGGCGCUAGUUGGGGGCUGAUGCUAGGGUUUCUGGCAUUUGGUUCAGGCCAGUUGGGCCACUUUGUGAUUGGGCUUGGGGGAAAUUGGGCCUACUUAGGUUUAGGCCUGCUAAUGUAAAAAAGUUGGACUGUAUUAUUAUUUUUUUUGGACUUUAAUUUUUUAAUUUGGUUUAUUUAUUACGGGCCGGGCAAAAAUUGGGCCUUACACUCUCUAUGCACAAGAGCAGAGAAGAGUAAACAGAAUAUAGGAGCAUUCUGAAUAAGCUUUUCAGGCCAGGAGUAGGGAAAGCUCAAGCUCGAGCUCAAGCUACAAAGGCAAGAAGCCUUGGACAGAAAAGAAAGAAAAAGGGAAGAAAGAUGCUGCUAAAAAGAAGUUUCCACCAUACACUUAUUGCAAAAAGACCACUCACUUAGAAAAAUAUUAUUGGUACAGGCUUGACAUUCAGUGUAAAAGUUGCAAGCAACUAGGCCACAUUGAAAAGGUUUGCAAGAACAAGGCAAAAACACAACCACAGUAGUAGAAUCAAGCUCAAGCUGCUGAAGAUAGGCAAUCUUAGGAGGAGCAUGUCUUUACUGUCUCUUGCUUUGCAAGUUCGAGCAAAGUCAGGAAAAAUUAGUUUAUUGACAGUGGCUGCACUCAUCACAUAGCUUCAGAUGAAGGCAUGUUUAAGGAGCUAGACACCAGCUUUGUGUCUAAAGUUAAAAUUGGGAAUGGUGAGUUCAUCGAGGCCAAAGGCAAAGGUAAUGCUGUGAUUUGUACUCAGUCAGGUAACAAAACCGUCUCAGAAGUUCUUUUUGUAUCUGACAUUGAUCAGAAUUUGCUUAGUGUUGGGUUACUCUAUUAUUUUUGAAGGAAAGACUUGUGUGAUCAAAGAUUUUUUUGAUCAAGUGUUGAUGACAA